CGCAGCUCUGGUAGAGCAGCUCGGCUGUGAGCGUGGACCCUGCGGCGGCGGUGGCGGCUUGGUUUUCCUCGAGCGAUCUGGCGCCGGCAUCGAGGGUCCUGCGGCACGCGACGGCACCGUUGCUUGAUUCGGCUUCCCGGCAAUCCAGAAGGACGUGGAGGACGGUCAGCCUCUCGCCGCAUCUACCACAGGCACGCACCAGAAGAAAAAAGAAACUGUUCAACAAGACGACCUCGCGUAUCUAUACGAGAGUCGCCCCACAGGCAGCUGUGCGCAUUGAAGUCGCCAAGAACAAUGUAAGGUCUGG